rfam:Capsicum annuum cultivar Zunla-1 chromosome 8, whole genome shotgun sequence
UGUUGAUGAUGUGGACAGUCCUGAAAAAGGGCUUUGAAUAUCUCCCAUGCAUUAUAUAAGUUCUCAUCUGGCUUCUGUUUGAUGUAAACAAUCUCAUUGCACAGUCU